rfam:Camponotus floridanus CamFlo_1.0_1.contig5618, whole genome shotgun sequence.
GUUUGGAUAGCUCAGUGGUCUAGAGCAGUUGCCCAAAAAGCGAAAGACUGGGGUUUGAUUCCCGAUCCAGCCA